rnacentral:lncRNA from 1 species
AGGGCGGCCGCGCACCCGCCGCUCCUCCGCCCGCCCCCCGUGCACGGCGCAGGUUUGGGAGGUGGGGUUUGCGCCGAGCUGCCCGGCUCCCGGCCGCUGCCGCUCAAUGCUGCGGCCGCGGGGCUGCUGCGGGAGCCGCGCACCUCGGGGCUCCGCGCACGGCGGGCAGGCGGCGACCACCGAGCCCGGCACAGCCCAGCACAGCCCGGCACAGCCCAGCACAGCCCAGCACAGCCCAGCAUGCCCCCCGCCCCGGCCAGGUAUUGGAAACUUGACUGAAGACUACGUAUCAUGCACUGGAGAAGGUAACAGUCCUUUAAUACUAAUUUUGAUUUAUUGAUACUAUUUUAUAUGGUCUUAAAGCAAUUGCAUUAAAUGUCUGGAUUUUCUUUGUGUUGUUUGUGCCUGAGACUACAGAAUCUGUCCCUGAGUUUCUCGGUACCUUGAGAGUAGGUUUUGUUUAAUUCUUGAAUUCUUGAAUUCUUUACUUUCCACCAGUCGGUGGAAAUUUUUGUUUAAAUUCCUCAGGAUGCAUAUUGCAUUUAGGCAAUUUUAUAUUUCAAGAUUUAUAGAAAACAUGGAGUAGCUUGCCUUCAGAAAACUUUCUGUAAACAUGCCAUUGUUUAAAACAAGGUAUCUAAUUUGAACAAACAGUUUACAAAAGGAGAUUGGUA